ACAAACUUGGUCAUUUAGAGGAAGUAAAAGUCGUAACAAGGUUUCCGUAGGUGAACCUGCGGAAGGAUCAUUAGUGAUUGCCCUAGUGGCUUAAACUAUAUCCAUAUACACCUGUGAACCGUUUGAUUGACACUCUGUGUCGAUUUUACAAACAAUGUGUAAUGAACGUCUAGUUAUUAUAACAAAAAAUAACUUUCAACAACGGAUCUCUUGGCUCUCGCAUCGAUGAAAGACACAGCCUGUCUCUUAGAGGAAGUAAAAGUCGUAACAAGGUUUCCGUAGGUGAACCUGCGGAAGGAUCAUUAGUGAUUGCCCUAGUGGCUUAAACUAUAUCCAUAUACACCUGUGAACCGUUUGAUUGACACUCUGUGUCGAUUUUACAAACAAUGUGUAAUGAACGUCUAGUUAUUAUAACAAAAAAUAACUUUCAACAACGGAUCUCUUGGCUCUCGCAUCGAUGAAGAACGCAGC
rnacentral:misc_RNA from 1 species